GACGAACGCUGGCGGCGUGCUUAACACAUGCAAGUCGAACGGUGAAGCGCCUUCCUUUUUGGUGGGUGUGGAUGAGUGGCGAACGGGUGAGUAACACGUGAGUAACCUGCCCCCUUCUUCUGGAUAACCGCAUGAAAGUGUGGCUAAUACGGGAUAUUCUGGGUCUGUCGCAUGAUGGGUCUGGGAAAGAUAUUGUUUCGGUGGGGGAUGGGCUCGCGGCCUAUCAGCUUGUUGGUGGGGUGAUGGCCUACCAAGGCGGUGACGGGUAGCCGGCCUGAGAGGGUGGACGGUCACACUGGGACUGAGACACGGCCCAGACUCCUACGGGAGGCAGCAGUGGGGAAUAUUGCACAAUGGGCGCAAGCCUGAUGCAGCGACGCCGCGUGAGGGAUGGUGGCCUUCGGGUUGUGAACCUCUUUCGCCAGUGAAGCAGGCCUGCCUCGUUUGUGGGUGGGUUGACGGUAGCUGGAUAAGAAGCGCCGGCUAACUACGUG
rnacentral:rRNA from 1 species